GCGGGGGUGGCAGAGCUUGGUCAAAUGCGCGGGGCAUAUGAUCCCGUCCCAUAGGGGUUCGUGGGUUCAAAUCCCACCCCCCGCACCA
rnacentral:tRNA from 1 species